AGCAGCCGCGGUAAUUCCAGCUCCAAUAGCGUAUAUUAAAGUUGUUGCAGUUAAAAAGCUCGUAGUUGAAUUUCGGGGUUCUACCGUUGGUCGGGCAAUAGUCUGUACUGGCGUGUAGAAUUUCUACCUUCUGGGGAACCAUCAUGUUAUUUAUUUAGCGUGGUGGGAAACCAGGACCUUUACCUUGAAAAAAUUAGAGUGUUCAAAGCAGGCUUACGUCUGAAUACAUUAGCAUGGAAUAAUAAAAUAGGACGGUGGUCCUGUUUUGUUGGUUUCUGAAUCACCGUAAUGAUUAAUAGGGAUAGUUGGGGGCAUUAGUAUUCAAUUGUCAGAGGUGAAAUUCUUGGAUUUAUUGAAGACUAACUUCUGCGAAAGCAUUUGCCAAGGAUGUUUUCAUUAAUCAAGAACGAAAGUUAGGGGAUCGAAGACGAUCAGAUACCGUCGUAGUCUUAACCAUAAACUAUGCCGACUAGGGAUCGGACGAUGUUAAUUUUUCUUGACUCG
rnacentral:rRNA from 1 species